rnacentral:rRNA from 1 species
AUGUCUCAUGACAUGGACUAUACCAGUCAGACAAUCAAUGAACUAAAUGAGAAGAAGAAACAACUUGAGGAUCAGGCAAAGAUUGAGUUAAGUAUGGAAAAGCUAAAGCUAGCCAAGGAGCAAAGGUGCAUUCUUCAAAGCCAAGCAGAUAUCAUUCAUAACAUGAGGAAGGCCAUGAAGGAGGUGGAGGGGGACAGGGACCUACUUAAGCAAGAGAAGAAGAAGCUGGAGUAUAUGAUUGCUGAUCUGCUCAAUGCUGGGCAUGCCAGCAAAGAUAAGCUAGAGAGGAUCAAGGCAAUUAUGAAUGAGUGA